GACACUCAGAGUGGAACAGCCGUGUGCCUAAAAUACACAGCCCGCUGUGCCUGGAAGUGACGUGUUGGAGGGAUAGGGCACACAGAGGAGAUGAAGAGAAAAGGGUUUUGUCCCCAGAUGCUUUAAAGAUGUUAUUUCCCACAUUCCUUGGCCGUGAUGUUGCCUUCCCAGUUUCCCAGAGGUUCUGGGAAGGGUGCUUCUAAUAAGGUGGGCAGUUGGCUUUCCCGUUUCAGAUUAAAGAAAGAUGCAGAAGUCAGCCAGGAGUGGUAGGAGACAAACAGAGAAAACUGGGGUGCGCUCAGCUCUGAAAGGCUUAAUCAUCUCAAGUGGUGUCUGUGGCCAGUUGGGAGCUAUUCCCUUCUUUUUGCAUAUAUAUANNUAUUUCUUGAAUGAGGCUGCUUUCUUGUGUUUUAUUUCUCAAAGUCCCUUUGUGCCCCUCUUUGCACAGCACUGAUCCCAAGGUAGGUCCCAAUCUGUGACUUGGGGCCAGGCUGGACAUUCCUGAGACAGAGUCUGGCUUUAGUUCAGAUUUCAAGCUACGGUGACUUUGGGACCAGCAGAAAGCAAAAACCCAGGCACCCAGCAGGAUUUCGAGGCUUCCGAGCUGUGUUUCUCUUCAAGACCUCCUAGCUUUGUUCUAGGAGGUCCUCUGGCUUCCCCAAAGCCAGAGGUUAUUUGGAGAAGGCUGGAUAUUCCCACCAAACUCACCAGCAUAUCCUCAGUUCCUUUCUUCUGGCUGGUUUUCCAAGUUCACGCCUGACGCCAGGAUUGCUGCUUCCAGCUCUCUGGCUCCAGCUUAGGGAGCUGCUGCAGCAUGGGGGCCUCUGCGCUUGGGCAGAGAGCUGCUGAGCUUCCCCCGUGUCCCCAGCCGUGAGGCAGCUGGUGUGGACUCCAGUUGGGCUGCAGGCAGCCCUGGGCCGGCAUAGGGCAGGUACUUCUUGACAGCCUGGUGAGAAACAGUCCCCUUGGCCACCUGGCUGGCCUCUCUGGGAAUAGUCCUCUUCCUGGCCGGGUGGAUGGGGACGGCUGCUGACACAGGAAAGAGGAGAUCCCAGGUGAGGCUUAGGAAACUGCCAGAGCCAACCUGAAGCAGAGACUCCACUGGGGAAGUUUUCAGAAAGAAAUCAUUGUCCUGCCUGUGAGAUAGGCCAAGCGGGUCCACCGUGGCCAGUCACAUGAGCAUCUCAAAGCCAAGAACCAUCAGAGGCUACUGCUUCCCUUUCUAAGGCGCUGGGGAAAGGGGCCUCCUCUCUGCUCCCCCUUGGCUUCAUUUUAAGGAUGAGCUCAACUUAGAGGCAUUGGGACUUUUCUUCCCAUUCCUUGAUGGACCAACAGUGCUGCUUGCACUCUCGGCUUGUAACUUUCAGGUUGAUUUCUGCCCCUGAUCAGACAUCCAUGUGGCUUCUUUAAGAAGACAGCACCUCCUAUGUGCCAGGCACUGUGUUAGGCACUUUUAUAUAUACAUCCCCUCUUUAGGAUGAGACUAAGUGAUGGGGACGUCCCUUAUUAAAGGCCCCUGAGUAAUGGAUAAACGAAAACACUUGUGAGAAGGUCUUUCUCCAAAGAGCCAAGGCAAGAUUGCCUUUGGCCUGAAGUUUGUUCUCAAAGACCCACCCCCUACAAUAGCCUCCCCACGCUGAACUUCUUUUCCCUGCCAUGUGCUCUUUUGCGCUCUUGAGGUGGUUGGAAGGGUAACCUGAGUCCUUGUGGACUUUGUGGACCAAUAGGGUAUGUGGGGCGUGUAACUUUCUUUUAAAAACUUAAGUAAAGGGGUCUUUGCUACUUUCUGCUUGUUGAGUCUUCUUGGCAUCCAACCUAAAAGCCAGCAUCUCACUAUUUAUUGACAGGGUGUGUGUGUGUGUGUGUGUGUGUGUGUGUGUGUGUGCACGCACGCCUGUAUUUCUAGGUGUGCCCAUGUCCUCCUGCAGCUUUUAAAAAGAAAACCCAGUUGCCCCAGUACUAAUUUGGUAUCUUCUCAUGCCUAGUCUAGUAUUUUGGCCGUACGUCCCCAAACAGUUUUAAUUUUCCAGGCUGACAUGUUCAAGAGGGGCUGGGUCACAUGUUGAGCGGGGUAUGGGAAGGGGAGGGGGAGAAGACGUUAACAUUUAUUUUAUUAUUUAUUUGAACUGUUUACAUCUUUGUGUUGCACCAAGCCUGAAUAGAAACAGAUAGCAUUAAAAUGCUCAGUCCCUCUCUCCCUCUCUUCCUUCUUUGUAAUUUUUUAAAAAUUAGCCUAAGCAUCAUUAGGCUAAUGAUGCUUUUUUUUUUUUUUUGGUUUCAAAAAUGACUCGUGACUUGUGCUGUACAAACUGUAUAAAAAAGGUUCUGUUUUUAAAGAUGGACUGUCAUUUCCUCGGGACAGUGGUCACUGAGAAGUCUCCAUUGUAAGAGAACACAGCAAAAGGUCCUGCCCUGUUCCUCAGAAAUUACUCUCUCUGUAUGAUUAAAAGUUUAUUCCAUUUAUUUUAGUGUGUGGUUACUUGAUGUCGAGGAAGAAAAAAAAAAAAUUCGCCUUUGUAUAAAGACUAGGUAUCAGGGUGUCUUUUCUGUAGCGAGAGCUGUAUAUAUAGUAUUUUGGUAUAUAGUGGAAAAUCAUAAGCUUUGUGCAUCUGUAUUUGAGGUAUGUUGAUGAUGUGGGGUAAAGAUCCUGGAGGCAAAAAAUAAAAAUAAAAAUAAACGUCGUACA
rnacentral:lncRNA from 1 species